rfam:Daphnia pulex DAPPTscaffold_75_Cont3778, whole genome shotgun sequence.
GUCGGCUACGGAGACAUGGCUCCCAAAACCUACGUCGGCAUGUUCGUCGGGGCUCUCUGCGCCCUGGCCGGCGUGUUGACCAUUGCCUUGCCCGUACCUGUCAUCGUCUCCAAC